rnacentral:misc_RNA from 1 species
AAGUCGUAACAAGGUUUUCGUAGGUGAACCUGCGUAAGGAUCAUUAACGAGCAAGCCAUUUUCUUGGCAAGCUUUUUGAACAAUGUUCAAGUCCCUGGGACCACUUGUUGGCUCAGGGCGGCUUCAUUUGAAGCGAUAACGGCUGCUUCUGGCUUGUCAACUGCAGUGAGUUGAAUUGGAGCGGUUGCGCUGUUAGUGUUCCAGUGUUCAAGGCUGGGUGCCCAUUCUUGGCUUUUUGCUGGGACUGUAUCAUCUGGAGAUGCAGUGGGCUGCAAAGUUGGCGUUCACUGGCGUUGACGC